UACGAGUGGCCCGAGCGUUAAUCGGAAUCACUGGGCUUAAGGGUGCGCAGGCGGCCCGGCAGGCAUCUCGUGAACUCCCCCGGCUCAACCGGGGAACUGCGGGGUGAACCGCCGGGCUUGAGGCAGGUAGGGGCUGACGGAACCAUGAGUGGAGCGGUGAAAUGCGUAGAUAUUCAUGGGAACGCCGAUGGGGAAGCCGGUCAGCUGGGCCUGUCCUGACGCUCAGGCACGACAGCGUGUGGAGCAAACAGG
rnacentral:rRNA from 1 species